rnacentral:rRNA from 14 species
CCGUGAGGGAAAGGUGAAAAGAACUGCUAGGAGCAGAGUGAAAAGAACCUGAAACCAUACGCUUACAAGCGGUCGGAGCACUUUGGUGUGACGGCGUGCCUUUUGCAUAAUGAUCCUACGAGUUACUCGUCACUAGCAAGGUUAAGGACUUCAGGUCCGCAGCCGAAGCGAAAGCAAGUUUGAAUAGAGCGUAUAGUUAGUGGCGGUAGACGCGAAACCGUGUGAUCUAC